AUUGAACGCUGGCGGCAGGCCUAACACAUGCAAGUCGAGCGGAUGAAGGGAGCUUGCUCCUGGAUUCAGCGGCGGACGGGUGAGUAAUGCCUAGGAAUCUGCCUGGUAGUGGGGGAUAACGUCCGGAAACGGGCGCUAAUACCGCAUACGUCCUGAGGGAGAAAGUGGGGGAUGUUCGGACCCCACCCUAUAAGAGGGGCCUAGGUCGGAUUAGUUAGUUGGUGGGUUAAAGGCCUACCAGGGAGAGGAUCGGUAACUGGUCGGAGAGGAUGAUCAGUCACAUUGGAAGUGAGACACGGUCCAGACUCCUACGUGAGGCAGCAGUGGGGAAUAUUGGACAAUGGGCGAAAGCCUGAUCCAGCCAUGCCGCGUGUGUGAAGAAGGUCUUCGGAUUGUAAAGCACUUUAAGUUGUGAGGAAGGGCAGUAAGUUAAUACCUUGCUGUUUUGACGUUACCAACAGAAUAAGCACCGGCUAACUUCGUG
rnacentral:rRNA from 1 species